rnacentral:lncRNA from 1 species
AGCCACUCAAACACAUGAAUCAAAUUCAUAGAGGUCAUUUAAGACAUAUUCAACAAAUACAGUGGAUACCAAAAAAAUAUUACUUUUUUUCAUUCAGCUUUAUUUUUCAUUCAGCUAUAAUUUCUUGUAGUCUACUGUUUUAAUGUGAGCACACAGACUUGUUUAUCCACUCUUGGGCGUGGAUGAGCAGGUAUCUGUGUCACCUGAGGGCGGAUCCAAAGUAUAAAUACAAGCACGAGAACAGCAUUUCCACACGGAGAGCAAGACGAGACAAGAGGUAAGACAUUCCUCAUUUAUUAGCUCCGACAGAUACCUGUCAAAUGCAUGAUUCAUGUGACCGUUUGAUGAAAAAUUACAGAUUGAAAAAGUUACUCUUUAGAAAAUGUAUUUGCAAGGAUUUUAUCUUAUGAAAUAUUAAAAUAAAUAUAAUUUGAACAUGCAUGCAGAAGAAAUCUUGCUUACGGGUCUUUUUCGUUGCUUAGUGUUUACAGACGUGUUACAUAUCUGAAAAUUUCAACAUGAGUGAUCGACGUAAGUAAUAUUUUAUAUAAAUAUACUGACAUUUUUCUGUUUGUGGCAUUUUAUUAAAAGUUUAAGAAAUUUUUACAGCUAUACACUUUCACAACUAUUUUACUUAAAUGCCAUUAGAGAACAACUCUUAAUGCUCGUUUUUGUUUUCCAAAUGUCUUCUGCAGCACAACAGCAGGGUUGCAGAGAUUCUGGCUCCGAGAGCUCAGGAGAUGAAUGUGGACAGAAGCACGGAAAGGGCCAAGGCAAAGGCAAAGGGAAAGGUCAGCAAGGUCAGCAAGGACAGCAAUGUCAGCAAGGUCAGCAAGGACAGCAAUGUCAGCAAGGACAGCAAGGACAGCAAGGACAAGGUCACGGACAUGGUCACGGUCAUGGAGGUGAUCAUGGGAAAAAGGGGCAUGGAUGUGAGCAGCAAAAAGGAAAAAAGUUUUAAGGUCAUGACCUGAGACCAUGGUGGUCCAUGCAUGUCCUCAUGCUUUACAUAUCAAAACUGGGUUUCAGCUCCAUAUUGCAUUCAAAUAAUGAAAAUAAACCGAUUUAUUAAAACCUUAAAUGAUGUGUGUCUGUCUUGAAUGGUUGAGUUUGAGUGUUUUAAUGGAUAUCACUUAGUUCUUGACUUAAAAUGAUCUCUAGACACAUAUGGGGAACUCAGCCAAUGGUACAAAACCCAAAUAUCGACAUUCAUAGUGAAACUGUGCUGUGCAAGAAACCAAAUGCCUGAGAUGCUGCAUUAGCCACCACUGCCAACACAUGUUAAAAGGUUGUCAACUGGGAUUCCAAACAUCAAAUUCUAAACGAUAUUACGAUUGAAUGUGAAACCAAUUUUUAGGAAUAACGGAUCCGCUGCCACUGCACAAAAACAAAUUACAUCAGGUUCUGCAAGCUUGGCACCCUAAAUAUUAAACUGAACUUAAGAUGCAUGCCAUCUUUCUAUAUUAAAUGUGCAAGACCUACAAAUAACCCAACUGAAGGUGGAGAACUCCAAAAGUGGGAAAUGUGCCAAAGUUGAUGCUUACAGGUUUAAAACUGGGAGUGCACUUCAUUUAGCAUUCCUAUUCAACUCAAAAUCAUGCAUGUACCAGCGGUCCCCGCCCUGGUCAAGGGGAGAAAAAAAAGAAAAGCAUAUUGGGAAACACACUUAACACAAUGACCUUAAAUUCUGUUGGAAUGUGCUAGUGGCACAAAAUUUCACCACCCAACUAUUAAAAGUCCAAUAACUCAAGAGUGCAUUGGUACCCACCCACUUUUCCCAGUGGAGUUAGGCCUAGACUACUCAUUUAAAGUUGAAAAAUCUUAAGUUUAUUGCAGAAUAUGCAAACAAGUAUUUGCAAUGUGUCAAAGUGUUCCCUGUAGAGUUUUUGGCACAGCUCAGAUUGGUGAAAUUUACACCAUCAUGGGUAGUGUAGUUAUCCACAAGGAACUCCACUUUGAAACAAUUCUUUAAAAAAACAGAGUUUGUAGGAGGUCUAACUUUAGGGUUACGUUAGACCCCCAUUACAUUUUUCCCCUUCCAGACCCUGAAAGGCUACUGUACAAAUAUCAAUUUCCCAGCAUGUUUUCAGGUCAAAACUGGUUGAUAAUCUACACAAGAAAAAACAAACCAGAAACAAGGGUAGGUUUCUCAAAUUUAUUGAAAACCAGGUAAAGUCUUCCAUCGCUCUCGAACCGUUAUGGGACCAAGUGAAGCCUUGCCUUCCCACUGAACACCUAGAAGGGAAAGAGAAGAAAAAAAAAGAAAAAAAAAAAAAAGAGACCCACGUUAAAGGGUUAGUUCACCCAAAAAUGAAAAUUAGCCCAUGUUUUACUCACCCUCAAGGCAUCCUAGGUGUAUAUGACUUUCUUCUUUCAGACAAAUCCAAUCGGAGUUAUAUUAAAAAUUGUCCUUUCUCUUCCAAGUUUUAUAAUGGUAUGGGCGGGUGUUUUUGUUCAACGGUCCAAAAGAAGACAAAGCGCAUCCAUCCAUAUUAAAACAUUCCUCACACGCCUCCGGGGGAGUGAACAAAGGCCUCCUGUAGUGAAUUGAUGCAUGGUGUGAACAAAGGCCUCCUGUAGUGAAUCGAUGCGUUUAAAAAAAAAAAAAAAAAAAAGCAUAUUUAAAAUGAUAUACAGUUUUUUGUAACUUCCGCUGUAAACGGUCCAUAAUGUACUUAAAGUGCUCUAUUUCGCAC